AGUGAACGCUGGCGGUAGGCCUAACACAUGCAAGUCGAACGGCAGCACAGUAAGAGCUUGCUCUUACGGGUGGCGAGUGGCGGACGGGUGAGGAAUACAUCGGAAUCUACUUUUUCGUGGGGGAUAACGUAGGGAAACUUACGCUAAUACCGCAUACGACCUACGGGUGAAAGCAGGGGAUCUUCGGACCUUGCGCGAUUGAAUGAGCCGAUGUCGGAUUUGCUAGUUGGCGGGGUAAAGGCCCACCAAGGCGACGAUCCGUAGCUGGUCUGAGCGGAUGAUCAGCCACACUGGAACUGAGACACGGUCCAGACUCCUACGGGAGGGAGCAGUGGGGAAUAUUGGACAAUGGGCGCAAGCCUGAUCCAGCCAUACCGCGUGGGUGAAGAAGGCCUUCGGGUUGUAAAGCCCUUUUGUUGGGAAAGAAAAGCAGCAGGUUAAUACCCCGCUGUUCUGACGGUACCCAAAGAAUAAGCACCGGCUAACUUCGUG
rnacentral:rRNA from 1 species